AAUUGGUUUCAUAUAUGAAAUCAACAAGAUCUGCAAGCUUAUUUCACUUUCAAAAGUCAGUGUUCCUAUGUUUCUGCAUUUAUGCAGUGGUCGGACCGCAUAAUGUCUGAAUCCUGCGUCUCGUUUUAGAAGUGUGAGAAGACAGACGAGAAGAUCCAAGCCACUUCCUACGUGACUAGGUUAAAACACAACAGGAUUGCUCACAAUGUCAAUUACGUUGAAUAUUAUGGCACGCCAAGCGCCCUUUCGGGUGCUGCUGAUGCCACAGCGUACGCUAACUGUUCUUCCAAUGACAAAAAAUGGAUGAGCCAGAGCAACCAGAAAAAUAAUCAAAAUUAAUCGCAGCAUCAGAGCCAUCCGCGUGGCAAUGCUUCCAUACACCAGGAUAUGUCAAGCAAGGAAGAGGUAAAGCAAAAUAUGCGAAUGCUUGACGAAGCACGCUGCGGAAACUGAGGUUUCUUGACGUGCGCCAUCAGUAAAAGUUGUAAAAACAACAAACUUUUCGUAACCGGAAGAAACUAAAAUUUGCUGUAUUAUAAUCAUAAAUCGAGAAGAAAAGCUUGAGAGCUGGUUGAACGGAGGAAGCGGAAGCAACGGUGCCAUUGAGACCAUGGAAAUAAUAAACGAGGGAGUACUUGCAGACAACUGACGAACGAGAUGGACUCAGGAAGAUGAUAAACAAAUUGAUAAACAGGCGAGAGAGUUCUUACUUACUCAGUUAGAUAAGUUACAUUAAGAAAUAAAGAGUAAGGAAGGUUUAAGUUUGGUUGUAAUCGAACAUUUAAUACUCUUGCAACUUGCGGUAUUGAUGCCGGCUUGUUAGAGUAACGAAAAUCAUUACUGUAGUAUAAUUUAAUUUCAGAUAUUUUCGACAUUAAACCACACUCAUGGCCACGCAAACCUUACCACUCAAAAUUUUCAAGUAUUGUGCAUAUUUGACUACAUUUUAUAGCGG